GCAUAAAAGGAGCCCUGCUUAUUAGCGUCCACGACCGCACAUAGUGAAGAACAGCCAAGUAGGUGCACAGGGCCUGGUUCCAAGUUUCAUUUGUUUGCCGGCACAAUGAAGACCUCAGUCAUCAGAUUCCUAGCAAUGCUUGCCGUGUUUGCAGUGAUCACCUGCGGAACUGAGGUGACGGGACGAGAACCGGCGAAAGUUCGAAUUCGCCGUGCUACCGGUUGUCCCGACGGUCAGGCCUGCAUCAAGAGCUGCAACAGCGAGGGUUACAGCUCAGGAUAUUGCCUAUCAGGUUUAUUUCAAUUCUGCAUCUGCGUGAACAUGUAGAACACGUUUAUAUUUAACAACAUAACAAUAAAGAUGGUCUGAAC